AGUGGUGCUGCUCAGACAGCUGUCAUCAGCACGUGUGCGCCUGCACAGGCCCAGCACCCAGGUCAUGGCCAGCAGGAAACAUGGCCUCCCCUCUUCUCUUCGCUCCCCAGAGCUUUGAAGAGGCUCUAGGUUGGGCAUCUGUUCAUCACCUCUCUGAGGUUCAUGGCCUGAAUCCCUUCCUUGGGAAUACCCACCUUUCCUCAGCACACAGGUGGUGGGUGGGGGCACCUGCUAGAGCCUCUGGGAAAGAACCGCCCUAGUUGUCAGAGUGCCAAGGAUGGUGUCAUCGGCUGGGCUAGGGCUCUCCGUCUGUCGGUUACCAUGGUGAGUGACUGCUCAGAGGCCAGAUCAGAGAAAAUCACUGUAGCGAUAGGAAGUCCAGAUCCUCAAGGCCCCAGGCAACAGGUGUGGGGAUCUCCCCAAGUCCUCUCCUGUGCAGACUGUGUCUUCUUAGAGCAGGGCUGGAGCCACUGAGAGCUCCAGGUCAGACACCAGGCCCUAGUCAAGAGAAGCCGUUCUUAUCCCUGCCCUGGGCAGCCCUCCUGAGCCCCACUUCUGAAGCACAGUGGCAUGAGCCUUCUUCCUACACCUUUGCCAGGGAGCAACAAGGGACCUGUAGGGAAGUGACACACCUCUGAGUGUUCCCUACCAGAGCUUUCCAGCCUACUGGAUCAUCAUGAGACAUCAGACACAUUACUGCAGCUUUUGCAAGUCCCUGGUCACCCCUGACCACAUUACCCAGCUGUGAAGGGAGCUGAAGAGUCACUCUGGAGAUGUUUGAAGAGGCCACUUUGGGCAGGCUUAGACAGGUGGGUCUGUCUUUGCAGGUGGUUCUGACACACCUAUAUAUUGUAGAGCUGUAUGAGACAGUGCUUGGGGCCCAGCUCUCACCUGGCCAGUGCCAGAGAGUGCUGCUUGGCAAUGCCCCCUCAUACUACAGUCUUCUACCUACCUGAAGGAGUAGCUGCUCUAAGAACAUGAUCUAGCCCAAGGUUCAAAAAUGUGGUCAUUUCUGCUUCGGCACGCUUAUGGUUUAGAUACAAGGUGUCCCCCAGAAGUUCAUAUGU
rnacentral:lncRNA from 1 species